CUCAUUUUUCUACUGCUCGUGGAUUUACGCGCACGUUGGAACCGAAGAGAGCUCUGUUGUUGCAAUGUUCAGCCCACAAGAGCUUACUGGUGAAGGAAUGGGACAAGACCCAUCUUUAUGCAAAGCCAGCGUUACAGUAAUGUUCCAGCAUCUCAUAAUCUAUCCUGGGGAAUUCAGCUGCCUCCCAGGGUGAAUACAGGUAUUCCUGAUGACAGUCUGCCUCUAUCUUACACAGCUUGUUGCUAUAUACCAUUGAAAAGCCUUCAGAGCUGAGAGGUACUACUAACCAAUAACCUGCUUGGCUCAAAGGGCCAGCACCUUCUCUCUAAAGCCCAAGAGGAGUUUGAGG
rnacentral:lncRNA from 1 species